rnacentral:rRNA from 1 species
GAUGAACGCUGGCGGCGUGCCUAAUACAUGCAAGUCGAGCGAACAGACGAGGAGCUUGCUCCUCUGACGUUAGCGGCGGACGGGUGAGUAACACGUGGAUAACCUACCUAUAAGACUGGGAUAACUUCGGGAAACCGGAGCUAAUACCGGAUAAUAUAUUGAACCGCAUGGUUCAAUAGUGAAAGACGGUUUUGCUGUCACUUAUAGAUGGAUCCGCGCCGCAUUAGCUAGUUGGUAAGGUAACGGCUUACCAAGGCAACGAUGCGUAGCCGACCUGAGGGGGGAACGGCCACACUGGAACUGAGACACGGUCCAGACUCCUACGGGAGGCAGCAGUAGGGAAUCUUCCGCAAUGGGCGAAAGCCUGACGGAGCAACGCCGCGUGAGUGAUGAAGGUCUUCGGAUCGUAAAACUCUGUUAUUAGGGAAGAACAAAUGUGUAAGUAACUAUGCACGUCUUGACGGUACCUAAUCAGAAAGCCACGGCUAACUACGUG